rnacentral:rRNA from 1 species
CAGCCGCCGCGGUAAAACGUAGGUGGCAAGCGUUGUCCGGAAUUAUUGGGCGUAAAGGGCUCGCAGGCGGUUUCUUAAGUCUGAUGUGAAAGCCCCCGGCUCAACCGGGGAGGGUAAUUGGAAACUGGGAAACUUGAGUGCAGAAGAGGAGAGUGGAAUUCCACGUGUAGCGGUGAAAUGCGUAGAGAUGUGGAGGAACACCAGUGGCGAAGGCGACUCUCUGGUCUGUAACUGACGCUGAGGAGCGAAAGCGUGGGGAGCGAACAGGAUUAGAUACCCCAGUAGUCCCUGUCUCUUAUAC